rnacentral:tRNA from 1 species
GAGGAUAUAGCUCAGUGGUAGAGUGCAUGCUUAGCAUGCACAAGGUCCUGGAUUCAAUCCCCAGUACCUCCA